UACGUAGGGGGCAAGCGUUGACCGGAUUUAUUGGGCGUAAAGAGCGUGUAGGCGGCCAGGUAGGUCGGUUGUGAAAACUAGAGGCUCAACCUCUAGACGUCGACCGAAACCAUCUGGCUAGAGUCCGGAAGAGGAGAGUGGAAUUCCUGGUGUAGCGGUGAAAUGCGCAGAUAUCAGGAAGAACACCCGUGGCGAAGGCGGCUCUCUGGGACGGUACUGACGCUGAGACGCGAAAGCGUGGGGAGCGAACAGG
rnacentral:rRNA from 1 species